GACACGACUCUUGGCAACGGAUAUCUCGGCUCUCGCACCGAUGAAGAACGUAGCGAAAUGCGAUACCUGGUGUGAAUUGCAGAAUCCCGCGAACCAUCGAGCCUUUGAACGCAAGUUGCGCCCGAGGCCACCCGGUCGAGGGCACGCCUGCCUGGGCGUCACGC
rnacentral:rRNA from 1 species